UGAGCAAUCUGCCCUUCUCUUCGGAAUAAGCGUUGGAAACGACGUCUAAUGCCGAAUACGACCUCCUUUCGCAUGAUCGGAGGUGGAAAGCUCCGGCGGAGAAGGAUGAGCUCGCGGCCUAUCAGCUAGUUGGUGUGGGUAAUGGCCCACCAAGGCGACGACGGGUAGCCGGCCUGAGAGGGUGACCGGCCACACUGGGACUGAGACACGGUCCAGACCUCCGUACGGGAGGCAGCG
rnacentral:rRNA from 1 species